rnacentral:rRNA from 1 species
GAUGAACGCUGGCGGCGUGCCUAAUACAUGCAAGUCGAGCGAACAGACGAGGAGCUUGCUCCUCUGACGUUAGCGGCGGACGGGUGAGUAACACGUGGAUAACCUACCUAUAAGACUGGGAUAACUUCGGGAAACCGGAGCUAAUACCGGAUCAUAUAUUGAACCGCAUGGUUCAAUAGUGAAAGACGGUUUUGCUGUCACUUAUAGCUGGAUCCGCGCCGCAUUAGCUAGUUGGUAAGGUAACGGCUUACCAAGGCAACGAUGCGUAGCCGACCUGAGAGGGUGAUCGGCCACACUGGAACUGAGACACGGUCCAGACUCCUACGGGAGGCAGCAGUAGGGAAUCUUCCGCAGUGGGCGAAAGCUUGACGGAGCCACGCCGCGUGAGUGAUGAAGGUCUUCGGAUCGUAAAGCUCUGUUAUUAGGGAAGAACAAAUGUGUAAGUAACUAUGCACGUCUUGACGGUACCUAAACAGAAAGCCACGGCUAACUACGUG